rnacentral:rRNA from 1 species
GGUGCUUUAGAUCCAUCUAGAGGAGCCUGUCCUAUAACCGAUAUUCCCCGUUAAACCUCACCCUCUCUUGCUCUUCCCGCCUAUAUACCGCCGUCGUCAGCCGACCCUGUGAAGGACGAAUAGUUUGCAAAAUUGGUAAAGCCCAAAACGCCAGGUCGAGGUGUAGCGAAUGAGAGGGGAAGAGAUGGGCUACAUUUCCUGGACUCAAGGAAAUACGGAUGCUAUACUGAAAUACUAUUUUUGAAGGAGGAUUUAGCAGUAAGUAGAAAUCAGAGUGUUCUACUGAAUCUGGCUCUGAAGCGCGCACAUACCGCCCGUCACUCUCCCCUAAUUACCAUCAAGCAGUGUAUAUAAAAACUAAUACCAAUAAAGGGGAGACAAGUCGUAACAUGGUAAGUGUACCGGAAGGUGCACUUGGAAAAAAUAU